UUGAAGGCACUGCAGAAUCUUGACACUCGAACAUAUCUUCCAGCAGCGCACAAAGUCUUUGGAGGCAAAUAAAGUUCAUCACACCAAAACCAAGACUUUCUGUGACUAAGCUAUCUCACACAUGGCUGACUUUUUAGCUGCAGAAUCUUAAUCAAAGAUACGAACAACAAUUUUUUUUUUUUUAAACAAUAAAAUUCAUACAAGAGCAAACAAGAAAAUAACAACAAAUGUCUAAGCUUUGAUUGAGAAGCUUAUGUACAUAACUCUGAAGCUACCAGAAAUUCAUUACCAAAUCAAUUUGGUUUGUGGUUAUGUAGUUUCGCUAUUUUCUACAACGUCCGUAGCUAUAUAAUAAUAUCCAACAACGGUAACUUUCUUUACUACAAACAUCAUCAGAAUUUUGUAGCUAACGAAAAUAAAAUGUUAUUUGUAAGAUUAUCAUAUUAGACUUAAAACAAUAAUAAAUUUUUGAAAGAAUGUUUUAAAUUGUCAAAAAAAACAUGGAGCCGGCGGUUAGGGUUUCGGAGGUCGCAUGAAUCUACGAAGAAGACGGAGGCACAUUUAGUCAUUUAUCUUUCAUUAAAAGAAAAUAAAAAAAUAGAAGGUAAAACACGUCUUCAGAGCUGGAAACGGUAAACUGACUGAUAACUAAAGUAUACUACCAAAAAUAUAGUUUAAAAGUCAGAAAUUAAUCCCUACUUACCCCAACCCUCAGUUACUAGCGCCUAACGAUUUUCCGAUAUAUGUAGUUAAAUACACUAAAUCAAUACUAUUUGGUUUGUGGUUAAGUAGUGCGUUGUGGUACCAAAGUUUCGCUCAUUCUACAAUAUCUGCCACCAAAGUGUGCGUUGUGGCACCAAAAUUCAGCACUAUUCUGGGCUUACUAUCUAUUUCUUCCCCUCCAGAAUAUCUACAUCGUAUCAGAUCCACACAAAAUUUGGUUAAUUUGUUGUUUCUCCUCAGAAUUUCUACACAACCUACGGUUCUGCAGAACCAACCUGUCGCGAGAAUUUAUCUUGCUCCCUCUGAAUAAAAUAUGUUAUUUGAUUUAAAUUGAUGACUUAACUUGAUGUUAAGAUCUGAAUAAAUUUGAAGAAAUCUCUCUUUGAUUUUGUUCGAAGAGGUAUUAUUCUUAUCCCGAGUACACAUACGUUUAUAAAUUGAAGACUACAUGUAAAUUGUAACUAACCAGCCUACAAAACAUUGCAUUCCAAGCUACCCCCCAUUAUCUACGGAGACGAGUGCAAGUCGCGAACCGGACAAAAGAUUACGGUUUGCCUCAAGAAUGUCUCCACAAAACAAGCUGAUCAAAAUCUCAAAAAGACUUGAAACUUAUGAAGUAAAUACAUGAGUAGCGGAACCAGCCACUAAACUUGUGGAGAUCAACAAAAUUAAAUCAUUGGUAUUAUCUUUCAUUAGUUUUUUAAUCAGAAAUACAUGCAAAAAAAAGUUUAGUAACAAAAAUUCAUAGGAACCCCUCACUAAACGGUGCCUCCGCCACUGGCUGCCGAAGCAUAUAUAGAGACAAAGUUGGCAGAAUCAUUCACGAUUAUCUGCCAUCGAUUAUUUUUAAAAAGGAACAAUCUUGUGUUUUGUAUUAGGUACACACGAUCAAUCAUAUCAUGUUUACUGAAUUAGGUUACACACUAUCAAUCGUAUCAUGUUUAAUUAAUUUUAGUUGGCAUUUUGCUUUUAGUCUCGGUUUAACCGGAAUUCACUCUACUCGGUUGAUGACUCAAACUAGAAAUUUUGAAUUCUACAAUUGGGUUUCGGUUUAGGAAUCAAUUUCAUAUGGAACGUUUUGAAGGUUUCUUUGCUAAAUCGGUUUGUUCCACCCGGUUCGGUACAACUUUGUUGGUUUCAGAAAACAUAUUCCAUGUGGAAGGGUAAAACGGUCACUUUAACAUCCACCUCUGAACACGGUUUGAAAAAGGUCUCUGAGUGCCGGCGAAACCUACCUCUCUCUCUCUCUCUCUCUCUCUCUAGACUCCAAUCCAUGCCACCGCCGCUAUCCACAUCCCCACCACCCUCAUAGCUUCGUUGCCUGCUCUCCUUAACGUCUAACUGUCUCAGCAUCACUAAGCGUAACCGCUGAUUCAACCACCACCGAGCCUCUCGCACGGAUUGAAUCACUAUCGGGCGUACUAGGUUGCCAGUGGUGAGAUGAAGGCAAAGGCAAACUCGUUGUCAUCUUAGCUCAACACUUCGACAUCGUUGCUCGCUGUCAGUUGCAAAGUUUAAGCCUUUCUUUGGUUUGUGGUGGAGCUAAUGCUGGAAACACUAUAUACAACAAGAAGUUUGCUUUACACCUUGUGCCUUGAGGAGGACACCACUUGUGUGAUUGGCAAUGGAGUUGUGGUUCAUUUACCAGGUCUAUUCAAAGAGAUUGAGCCUCUUGUCUCCUGUAAAGGAAUGAUCUUGCUCUUAGACCGUGCUCAUCUCUUGUUUGAUUUCCAUUAAGAGAUUGAUGGUCUCCGCUUGCAAAGUCAUCCAUCGGCACAACCAAGAGAGGGAUCGGUCUUUGCUACACUAGUAUAUUGUAAUCAAUGAAUGCAUUGUGAUGAAUGAUGAUCUUGUUUUGUUAGGUAAAAGCGAGAGUUGGUUCAGGAUAAAAUGGUGGUGAACUUCUUAGGUUGACAGGAGUUUGGCACAAAAACUGGUCGUCCUCGUCGGAAAUCAAUGGAAAGCUUGAUGUACUUUCUGACCUAGAAGAAAUCCAGCUUGGUGUGGCUUAUAAGAAGAGUGAUGGCACUCGUGUUGAAUCCUUCCCUGGUGAUCUUAGAACUGCACCUAAUUGUUGAUCUCUUGUAGUAUCUGUUAAAGUCUUGAAACUCUGUUUAAAUGUGAAAAUGUAUGAAGUGUUACCUGGAUGGAAGUCUGAUCUUCCAAAGGCUGCACAGCAAUAUGUUGAGAGAAUUGAAGAACUCGUGGGUGUGCCCAUUCAUUACAUUGGUAUUGGUAUUGGACCUGGUCGUGAUGCCCUUAUACAUAAAUGAGGGCUUUUUUUUUGGCUCUUCCACACAGACUAAUGUAUCUCUUGCAUUGUUUGAAGAGUAAUAAGGAAUGAGUUUGUUGAA